rnacentral:rRNA from 1 species
CCUACGGGAGGCAGCAGUGGGGAAUAUUGGACAAUGGGCGAAAGCCUGAUCCAGCCAUGCCGCGUGUGUGAAGAAGGUCUUCGGAUUGUAAAGCACUUUAAGUUGGGAGGAAGGGCAUUAACCUAAUACGUUAGUGUUUUGACGUUACCGACAGAAUAAGCACCGGCUAACUCUGUGCCAGCAGCCGCGGUAAUACAGAGGGUGCAAGCGUUAAUCGGAAUUACUGGGCGUAAAGCGCGCGUAGGUGGUUUGUUAAGUUGGAUGUGAAAUCCCCGGGCUCAACCUGGGAACUGCAUUCAAAACUGACUGACUAGAGUAUGGUAGAGGGUGGUGGAAUUUCCUGUGUAGCGGUGAAAUGCGUAGAUAUAGGAAGGAACACCAGUGGCGAAGGCGACCACCUGGACUAAUACUGACACUGAGGUGCGAAAGCGUGGGGAGCAAGCAGGAUUAGAUACCCUGGUAGUCCACGCCGUAAACGAUGUCAACUAGCCGUUGGGAGCCUUGAGCUCUUAGUGGCGCAGCUAACGCAUUAAGUUGACCGCCUGGGGAGUACGGCCGCAGGUUAAAACUCAAAGGAAUUGACGG